rnacentral:rRNA from 1 species
GAUGAACGCUAGCGGCAGGCUUAACACAUGCAAGUCGAGGGGUAGAGGAAGCUUGCUUCCUUGAGACCGGCGCACGGGUGCGUAACGCGUAUACAAUCUACCUUUUACAGAGGGAUAGCCCAGAGAAAUUUGGAUUAAUACCUCAUAGUAUUUUCGGAUCGCAUGAUUUGAUUAUUAAAGUUCCAACGGUAUAAGAUGAGCAUGCGUCCCAUUAGUUAGUUGGUAAGGUAACGGCUUACCAAGACAAUGAUGGGUAGGGGUCCUGAGAGGGAGAUCCCCCACACUGGUACUGAGACACGGACCAGACUCCUACGGGAGGCAGCAGUGAGGAAUAUUGGUCAAUGGACGCAAGCCUGAUCCAGCAAUGCCGCGUGCAGGAUGAAGGCCUCGGUUGUAAACUGCUUUGUACGGUAACGAAACGGUAAGGACUCUAA